rnacentral:snoRNA from 1 species
AAGAUUUCGGUGCAUGUGAUGAAGCAAAUCAGUAUGAAUGAAUUCAUGAUACUGUAAACGCUUUCUGAUGUACUACUCA